rnacentral:tRNA from 1 species
GAGGGUAUAGCUCAGUGGUAGAGCACGUGCUUAGCAUGCACAGGAUCCUGGGUUCAAUCCCCAGUACCCCCA